rnacentral:rRNA from 1 species
AUUGAACGCUGGCGGCAUGCCUUACACAUGCAAGUCGAACGGCAGCACGGGAGCUUGCUCCUGGUGGCGAGUGGCGAACGGGUGAGUAAUACAUCGGAACGUACCCUGAAGUGGGGGAUAACGUAGCGAAAGUUACGCUAAUACCGCAUAUUCUGUGAGCAGGAAAGAGGGGGAGUCGCAAGACCUCUUGCUUUAGGAGCGGCCGAUGUCGGAUUAGCUAGUUGGUGAGGUAAAGGCUCACCAAGGCGACGAUCCGUAGCGGGUCUGAGAGGAUGAUCCGCCACACUGGGACUGAGACACGGCCCAGACUCCUACGGGAGGCAGCAGUGGGGAAUUUUGGACAAUGGGCGCAAGCCUGAUCCAGCCAUGCCGCGUGAGUGAAGAAGGCCUUCGGUGUAAGACUCUUCGUGGGAGAAU